UUUUUAUUUACAAUGAAUCUAUAUAUUUUGCUUUAAGACCAGAAUAUUGUCGAAAAAAUAGCUAAAAAUUAAUUGCGUUUCAGAGUAAGAAAGAGUCCGGGAAACGGUCAGAAUGCACGAUUUUGCGUCAUUUUUUUCAGAGCUUCUGGGGGCCUUGAGCGGCCUCCAGACCCUUCGCCUCGCUUCGCUCGGCGAAUAUAUUUUGCCUCACUUUAAAAAGAAGCUAGUUACGGCCCUGGUCCAAAUUGUCAGACUAGGACUGCAACUGACGAUAGUGGAGAAUCAUUUAAGACUGAAGCUUCUCGGACAAUUAAUACAUCGUCAUGUACACAACACCAUCCCCCUUACCCAGAUAUCGGGUCUUUACAACACCAAAAAACAAUACCUGACUUCUUGGUGUCCUUUCGACUUUCAAAUCUAUCUCUUCUUCAUAUACACCGACACCUCAAUGUUGAUGUUGAUGCG
rnacentral:lncRNA from 1 species